rnacentral:rRNA from 1 species
UACGAAGGGGGCUAGCGUUGCUCGGAAUUACUGGGCGUAAAGCGCACGUAGGCGGCUUUCUAAGUCAGGGGUGAAAUCCUGGAGCUCAACUCCAGAACUGCCUUUGAUACUGAGGAUCUUGAGUACGGGAGAGGUGAGUGGAACUGCGAGUGUAGAGGUGAAAUUCGUAGAUAUUCGCAAGAACACCAGUGGCGAAGGCGGCUCACUGGCCCGUAACUGACGCUGAGGCACGAAAGCGUGGGGAGCAAACAGG